rnacentral:rRNA from 1 species
GACGUUAAAAAGCUCUUAGUUGGAUUUCGGAGUGGGCCAGUUGGUCCGCCGCAAGGUGUGUUACUGACUGGUUUGCUCUUCUGCGCAAAGACUGCGUGUGCUCUUUGUUGAGUAUGCGUAGGAUUUACGUCGUUUACUUUGAAAAAAUUAGAGUGUUCAAAGCAGGCUAUUGCUUGAAUACAUGAGCAUGGAAUAAUGGAAUAGGACUUUGGUCCCAUUUUGUUGGUUUCUAGGACCGAAGUAAUGAUUAAGAGGGACAAUUGGGGGCAUCCGUAUUUCGUUGUCAGAGGUGAAAUUCUUGGAUUUGCGAAAGACGAAUAACUGCGAAAGCACUUGCCAAGAGUGUUUUCAUUAAUCAAGAACGAAAGUUAGAGGAUCGAAGACGAUCAGAUACCGUCCUAGUUCUAACCAUAAACGAUGUCGACUAGGGAUCAGCGGGCGUUAUCGUACGACCCCGUUGGCACCUUACGGGAAACCAAAGUUUCUGGAUUCCGGGGGAAGUAUAGUCGCAAGGCCGAAACUUAAAGGAAUUGAC